AGUGAACGCUGGCGGUAGGCCUAACACAUGCAAGUCGAACGGCAGCACAGUAAGAGCUUGCUCUUACGGGUGGCGAGUGGCGGACGGGUGAGGAAUACAUCGGAAUCUACUUUUUCGUGGGGGAUAACGUAGGGAAACUUACGCUAAUACCGCAUACGACCUACGGGUGAAAGCAGGGGAUCUUCGGACCUUGCGCGAUUGAAUGAGCCGAUGCCGGAUUAGCUAGUUGGCGGGGUAAAGGCCCACCAAGGCGACGAUCCGUAGCUGGUCUGAGAGGAUGAUCAGCCACACUGGAACUGAGACACGGUCCAGACUCCUACGGGAGGCAGCAGUGGGGAAUAUUGGACAAUGGGCGCAAGCCUGAUCCAGCCAUACCGCGUGGGUGAAGAAGGCCUUCGGGUUGUAAAGCCCUUUUGUUGGGAAAGAAAAGCAGCAGGCUAAUACCCCGCUGUUCUGACGGUACCCAAAGAAUAAGCACCGGCUAACUUCGUG
rnacentral:rRNA from 1 species